rnacentral:rRNA from 1 species
GAUGAACGCUAGCUACAGGCUUAACACAUGCAAGUCGAGGGGAAACGACAUCGAAAGCUUGCUUUUGAUGGGCGUCGACCGGCGCACGGGUGAGUAACGCGUAUCCAACCUGCCCAUCACUUGGGAAUAACCUUGCGAAAGUAAGACUAAUACCCAAUGAUAUCCCACGAAGGCAUCGGAAUGGGAUUAAAGAUUUAUCGGUGAUGGAUGGGGAUGCGUCUGAUUAGCUUGUUGGCGGGGUAACGGCCCACCAAGGCAACGAUCAGUAGGGGUUCUGGGAGGAAGGUCCCCCACAUUGGAACUGAGACACGGUCCAAACUCCUACGGGAGGCAGCAGUGAGGAAUAUUGGUCAAUGGGCGAGAGCCUGAACCAGCCAAGUAGCGUGCAGGAAGACGGCCCUAUGGGUUGUAAACUGCUUUUAUAAGGGAAUAAAGUGGGUCACGUGUGACUUUUUGCAUGUACCUUAUGAAUAAGGACCGGCUAAUUCCGUG